GUCGCACGGUAAGGCCCCUAACGGGGGUACACGAGUGGCGAACGGGUGAGUAACACGUGGGUAAUCUGCCCUGCACUUCGGGAUAAGCCUGGGAAACUGGGUCUAAUACCGGAUAUGAACUCCUGCCGCAUGGUGGGGGUUGGAAAGUUUUUCGGUGCAGGAUGAGCCCGCGGCCUAUCAGCUUGUUGGUGGGGUAAUGGCCUACCAAGGCGACGACGGGUAGCCGGCCUGAGAGGGUGAUCGGCCACACUGGGACUGAGACACGGCCCAGACUCCUACGGGAGGCAGCAGUGGGGAAUAUUGCACAAUGGGCGAAAGCCUGAUGCAGCGACGCCGCGUGGGGGAUGACGGUCUUCGGAUUGUAAACCCCUUUCAGUAGGGACGAAGCGCAAGUGACGGUACCUGCAGAAGAAGCACCGGCUAACUACGUGCCAGCAGCCGCGGUAAUACGUAGGGUGCGAGCGUUGUCCGGAAUUACUGGGCGUAAAGAGCUCGUAGGCGGUUUGUCACGUCGUCUGUGAAAUCCCUCGGCUUAACCGGGGGCGUGCAGGCGAUACGGGCAGACUUGAGUACUACAGGGGAGACUGGAAUUCCUGGUGUAGCGGUGAAAUGCGCAGAUAUCAGGAGGAACACCGGUGGCGAAGGCGGGUCUCUGGGUAGUAACUGACGCUGAGGAGCGAAAGCAUGGGUAGCGAACAGGAUUAGAUACCCUGGUAGUCCAUGCCGUAAACGGUGGGCGCUAGGUGUGGGGUCCUUCCACGGACUCCGUGCCGUAGCUAACGCAUUAAGCG
rnacentral:rRNA from 1 species